UAGAGUUUGAUCAUGGCUCAGAUUGAACGCUGGCGGCAGGCCUAACACAUGCAAGUCGAGCGGAUGAAGGGAGCUUGCUCCUGGAUUCAGCGGCGGACGGGUGAGUAAUGCCUAGGAAUCUGCCUGGUAGUGGGGGAUAACGUCCGGAAACGGGCGCUAAUACCGCAUACGUCCUGAGGGAGAAAGUGGGGGAUCUUCGGACCUCACGCUAUCAGAUGAGCCUAGGUCGGAUUAGCUAGUUGGUGGGGUAAAGGCCUACCAAGGCGACGAUCCGUAACUGGUCUGAGAGGAUGAUCAGUCACACUGGAACUGAGACACGGUCCAGACUCCUACGGGAGGCAGCAGUGGGGAAUAUUGGACAAUGGGCGAAAGCCUGAUCCAGCCAUGCCGCGUGUGUGAAGAAGGUCUUCGGAUUGUAAAGCACUUUAAGUUGGGAGGAAGGGCAGUAAGUUAAUACCUUGCUGUUUUGACGUUACCAACAGAAUAAGCACCGGCUAACUUCGUGCCAGCAGCCGCGGUAAUACGAAGGGUGCAAGCGUUAAUCGGAAUUACUGGGCGUAAAGCGCGCGUAGGUGGUUCAGCAAGUUGGAUGUGAAAUCCCCGGGCUCAACCUGGGAACUGCAUCCAAAACUACUGAGCUAGAGUACGGUAGAGGGUGGUGGAAUUUCCUGUGUAGCGGUGAAAUGCGUAGAUAUAGGAAGGAACACCAGUGGCGAAGGCGACCACCUGGACUGAUACUGAC
rnacentral:rRNA from 1 species